rnacentral:rRNA from 1 species
AGGACGAACGCUGGCGGCGUGCUUAACACAUGCAAGUCGAGCGGUAAGGCCCUUUCGGGGGUACACGAGCGGCGAACGGGUGAGUAACACGUGGGUGACCUGCCCUUAGCUCUGGGAUAAGCCUGGGAAACCGGGUCUAAUACCGGAUAUGACUCCAUGACGCAUGUUGUGGGGUGGAAAGCCUUGUGCGGCUAGGGAUGGGCCCGCGGCCUAUCAGCUUGUUGGUGGGGUGAUGGCCUACCAAGGCGACGACGGGUA